rfam:Myotis lucifugus cont2.20131, whole genome shotgun sequence.
GAUGGCUCUCGGGUGACGCAUCACGGAAUCGGGCUCCCUCCUCUCUGGUUCCAGGGUGCAUAACCCAAGAACCGCC